rfam:Nicotiana sylvestris Nsyl_contig50191, whole genome shotgun sequence.
CAAUAGGCUUUAUUUAAAGCCAUUUACAUAAUACACAUUUUCAAUU